rnacentral:rRNA from 1 species
AGAACGAACGCUGGCGGCAUGCCUAAUACAUGCAAGUCGAACGAACUCUUCGGAGUUAGUGGCGCACGGGUGCGUAACGCGUGGGAAUCUGCCCCUUGGUUCGGAAUAACAGUUGGAAACGACUGCUAAUACCGGAUGAUGACGAAAGUCCAAAGAUUUAUCGCCUAAGGGAUGAGCCCGCGUAGGAUUAGCUAGUUGGUGAGGUAAAGGCUCGACCAAGGCAACGAUCCUUAGCUGGUCUGAGAGGAUGAUCAGCCACACGUGGACUGAGACACGGCCCAGACUCCGUACGGGAGCAGCAGGUAGGGAAUAGUGGAACAAGUGGGACGAAAGCCUAGACUCCAGACAAGUCGCCGCGU